UCUAUGGGUCAACUGUCAUGUCAAAACUACUUAAAAUAAGGAUUAAAAUCGUACUUUUAACAUGAUAUUUGACACUAAGUCAAAAUGGCGCAUGAGAACUCAUUUUUUAUUGGAAGAUUAUUUUUACGCAUUAAACGAGUAAGACUUACUAUAUUAAAAUGCUUAGACGAUUGCAGUUUCUUCCCUACGCUUUGUUAUUGCGUGAAAUAAACAUUAGUUAUUCUACCCAUAAUAUUAUAUAAAAUAGCUACCCAUAGAUAUUUUAACAAAAAAAUUAGGCAUACAGAAAAAAAGAUGCGUAGCUUCACUUAGUGAACUUCACUUCGAAUUGAAGCCACGUGUCUUUUUUUUAAAGUCUUCAUCACAUAAAACGCGUACAUAGCGCUCGUCAAGGCGUCAACAACUUAGUAGGCAUAGUAACGUCGCGUUUUGAAUGUCGCACAGGUUAGGCCCUUGAACAUGUAUAUAGUGCAUUUUUGGUAAAGAUCACGCCAUAUUUGCUGUGUCAACUGUACGAAUGUACUUGUACUUUUGACAUGACAGUUGACACAUGGAGCAAAUAUGGCGAAUACUCACUCAAAAUACUUAUCAUCAUUGUCUAACAUUCACACAAGAACGCUGAGCGUAUAAUAACAAAUAUAUUUCAACCUAGCGUUCUGACGUCGCGUCGUGUACUUCAGUGGCGAACUCUGUGUCACAGGUUCAAACUUGAAUAGUACAACACUAAGUGAAGCUGUAGCGCGGUACUAGAACGGGACGCUAUUACAUAUUGACGCGCGAUGUAACUACGCGUUCUGUUUGACGAAGGUUUAAUGUUACGAAAUUAUAGACCUUAGAACUUUUGACUCCAUCUCAUAUCGACAACUCUACUAGAUGAUUACUACGUACUGGAUAGUGUGAUCGCGAUGACGUUUGCUUGUUUUCCAUAGACACAAAACAGGAAUAGACUGAUUAGACUUGCAAUAAAGUUUGCGUUAUGAUUUAUGAGUUACUCGAAAUAAUCUGACAUGUACACUCUCUAUUAAAACUCUUAUAAAUAGCUUUACAUAAUGGCGUUAUAAUACCUAUUUUUACUUUGUAAAAUCGAACCCAGUUAUGCCACAAUCGCAUUGCUUUCGAGAAAGGGAAGUUUGACUUGAAGGUUUCUUAUGGUUUAACGUUUAAACGUCUUUCUUGCAAAGACACUUUAAAGAAAUAGCGACUCUUGCUCCGACGCUGUAAAGUGCAAUUCAGCUUGCACAGUGUGCGGUCUCGCGCCGCAUAUCGGCUCACGUGACUAAAUGUAAUUUAGUGUUUUAAAAGCCACUUUGCUUCAGAGCUUUGCCACGUUUUUAAGCAGCUUAAAUGUAUUCAUUUAGGAUUUUAUAAUUUAUUGAGAAUUCAUUACUUAAAUCUUUUUUGUCAAUUUAUGGAUUAAUUUAUUUUGGCAUAACUGGGUCCCAAACUAGGUGCAAAGGGAAGACGAAGACAGUGGAUAUGCGUCUUUUCUAAAAUGUUACAAAGGAAACGAUCUACAUGACGUGAUUGAAUUGACGAAUGAAUAAUAAAAGUUUAGUUUACUUUGUAACAAGAGAGAAGACAUGUGACCUAAACUCUGUCGUCAUAUGCUUUGAUCCUAAAUAUUUGGCGUUAAAGUUUUUUAUUGACUGUACACGUCGUUUCGAGUUGAACACACAGUGAGCACAAUGUGGGUGCAUAGUGUCUUAAUCUAAGUAGUUACUAAGCUAUGAAUAUAAUUUUUGUAUCAACGAUUUGAAUUCACAUCUGCGCAAGCGCAUGGGCUCUGCACACAACGCGCACCAUAAGAACAUGGUGUAGAGUAGACGAGGUGGUGUGUUCACGAAAGGUUUGCAAGCAAUACGCAUUCAUGUUUUACAAGGCAUGGCGUACACAGUUUUGGUGUGAGUAUAAACUUAAUACAUAUACGCCUUCGCGACAUGCACGUGCGUACAAAGAGAAUGACGCGUUCAUAGCCGCUGGAUGCGAGUUGUAUGCACGGUUUGUGCGCGUGCGCAGGUGUGGAUUCGUCUGUAGACAUAAUUAUUAUUACCUAUUAUAUGAAAGAAUAAACCUAGCCGCUGCGAGUUAGAGAGUAAAAAUAAAUAUUACAGUCUCUUUAAAUAAAACGUUGUCAAUUUGAUAUUCCUAAAUAUAAAUUUCAUAAACUCUUUUCUGAUAAAUAAAUUAGAGAAGACUAAUAAUCGAGAAUUUCUACUGCAUGUUUUAGUAGUAUCGUUCUAUAAAGCCAAUAGGAUUGCGUAGUACAUUGAGGCUGAAAUACAACGUACUUUACUUUUUACGGUUUUUUAUUAUUAUAAAUCUUCUUCACAUCCUAAGUCUUUUGACCUAUUUGGCACAUAAAAACAUAAUUCUGUGUAUUGACUGACCUCUUCUAUAAUGUCCAUUUCAGUGGUAUUGACGGAUGAUAGAGAGGAGGCCACCAAUGUUACGUCCCAAAUUCGUUCAGACAAAGUAGAAAAUAAUAAUCGAUUUAAUUACUCAAAUGUUUGAAAAAAAUUGUCAGGUGAAUCGAUUAUAAUUGUUUAUUCGGUCGGUAAUUUAGUCGAGCUAUGACAUAAAUGUUGGCAAUUUAGAGCUGUCUUAUAUAAAUACUAUCCAUUCACCGUCGUAGUGUGUCGGGGAUCUGAAAUUCUUGUUAUAAACAAAAUAUUUUAUGUUUUGAAUGUUCCUUUUCGUUGUAAGAGUGACAACACAAUGUGAAAGUAUAAUUUUGAAUCUAGGCCCAAUUCCCAUCUAGGUAUGUGGCGUGAUGUAAG